rnacentral:rRNA from 1 species
GAUGAACGCUGGCGGCGUGCCUAAUACAUGCAAGUCGAGCGAACGGACGAGAAGCUUGCUUCUCUGAUGUUAGCGGCGGACGGGUGAGUAACACGUGGAUAACCUACCUAUAAGACUGGGAUAACUUCGGGAAACCGGAGCUAAUACCGGAUAAUAUUUUGAACCGCAUGGUUCAAAAGUGAAAGACGGUCUUGCUGUCACUUAUAGAUGGAUCCGCGCUGCAUUAGCUAGUUGGUAAGGUAACGGCUUACCAAGGCAACGAUGCAUAGCCGACCUGAGAGGGUGAUCGGCCACACUGGAACUGAGACACGGUCCAGACUCCAACGGGAGGCAGCAGUAGGGAAUCUUCCGCAAUGGGCGAAAGCCUGACGGAGCAACGCCGCGGGAGUGAUGAAGGUCUUCGGAUCGUAAAACUCUGUUAUUAGGGAAGAACAUAUGUGUAAGUAACUGUGCACAUCUGGACGGUACCUAAUCAGAAAGCCACGGCUAACUACGU